UAUCAAAUUUCAAAAUGAAAUCCUACUUUAUGGCACAAGAUUGUAACUGACUAAGAGUUUCCAGUUUUUUUCCCGAGAAAUCAACUAUGUAAUCACGAAAAAUUUGUGAUCUGAUUACGAACAUCCCAAUAUUUGAGGAACGAAAUUGAAUGGUUGUGUUUUUUGUUAUUGUUCAAACCAAAUCAAAUCUAACUCUUUGUGGUAAUGUCUUUCUCUCUCUUCUUCUUCUUCUUAUUCCACCAUAGCUCCAUUCGUAUGUUAGAUUAAGAUUGUUUGAUGUACAACAACUAUUAUGUAAUAAAUCAGUAUAAGUUUGGGUGGAUUUUGAAGAGGUAUUUCCAAAAGUCAACUCCUGCUUCGAUUUUGCGGAGGGUAUUUAUUUCUAAGAAGCGAUCUUCAUGAGUGACCUGGAUUGAUUCUAUUUUGAGUCUCUGUGAUUUAGGUUGUGGAGAAGGACAUCAUGACUGGAACAUGAGGGUCAUCGACAGGGAUGAGAGUUGCCCGCAGAAGGAACAGAGAGGGAAAUAGGAGAACGAGGAGGGUUGCCAGGGCAAGUUGGCAGGUUUGAAGAUGCACACCACAUGCUUGAUGAAAUGUUUGAAAGAAAAUGGUUAGUGUAGUUAAGAUUAGUUUGGUUUAUUGAUUUUCUUUGGGCUAUAAAGAAAUCUAUAAACAGUAUUUUCAUCAGCUACUCAAGCACAAGGUGAUGAUAAAUUCUGAUUUCCCUUUUGUUAAUAAACUCCUCUUACUUCUUAUGGUUCCAUUAACAUGAUACUUUUUUUUAUAGACGAUUGAGAUGGCAAACAAGACUCUGAAACCAAUUCCUAUAAAGUAAAUUCUUAAUCAUCUUUCUUUUUAUUGAAUUAUUAGGUUUCUUUUAAAUUUAGAACCAUAUAUAACAUUUGGACCUGCAUUUGACUAAUAAAGAUUGCAUCUCUCUUUUGGGGUAAUCAAUAUUCAUAUUCUUUGAACUUUUUUUAUCAUCUAUGUAUAUGUAUAUAUCAACCAUCGAUCCAAUCCAUGGUACUUUUAUGUGUUACUAAUUGGCAAAUUACUCCAUAUGCUUGAACUUGAUUAUGAUGCAGAUAAAGCAUUUAAAAAAUUAAAUAAUAUCGAGCUAGAAUUUUUGUGAAAAUAAUUUCAUGAUGGGGACAGACAUGAUGUCAAAGAAAAAGCCAUUGAUAUUCCAUCAAUUCGACCAGGAUUUGAAUCUCUUACAUCUUUUACUCUAAAAAGAGUUAAAGAUAACAAUGUUCUUGUCCCUAUGAGUAUUUUUGAACAACAUCCAAGAACGAAGCAUAUAUUGAGAAAAGUGACGAUGAAAAGAUUAAGAUGCCUGUUAGGCCUAGACCUUGGAUAAACUAUGGCUAAUUGAUAGCAAUUCACAAGAUGCGUCUACAUUUGAAAAGAACUAAACUUCAAACAAUCGGAUCUCUGAAGCGGUUAUUCGUGGAUGUGAAGAGUGUAGUCAUCGCCAAAAGGUUAAUAUAAUUCAAUAUUACAAUUUUUUACUUUAUACUCUGAAGGGGUUAUUCGUGGGUUUCUCCAUUUUAAUUGUUAAUUUGUUAAUUUGUUAAUUUGAUGGGUUUUUUUCUUAGUAAAUAUCAUUUUCGUGUUUCUUGGAUUAUAUAGAAUCUUGGGUGUAAUAGUUCAAAUUCAGUAAUGAGCGUAAGAUGGCUUUGAGUUCCAUCGCACUCUUCUGUUUUAGGAUCUGUAUUGGCUGUCUGGUAGAAAUCAAGCAUAAAGAAAGUCCUCAUGAAUAUAAUCAUUAUGUUGUUUAUGAUCCUAAACAGGUAAUUGUUGUUAAUUUUAAGAGUAUAUGUGCUUUUUUAAUCAAGGGUAAAAUGGUCAUUUGUUGACCAUUUGUUCUUUUUGGGUUUGAAGGUUAUUAUAAGGUUUUUGGUUGGAGUGAAGUUUGAAUAACAAUAUGGUUUGUAUGAAGAAGUUGAUCUGCUUAUGUUGAUGCUCAUGUUAUUUGAUGUGGAUAAAAGUUUUUGUUUGUCUUUUCUAGAAGGAUUGAAAUUUAGAGCCUAUGGAAUAUGGGUAGUCUAAUGUAUUUCGACGUAAAAGGACAUUUCAGAUAUUAUAAGUAAUUUAAUAUCUACAUAUGUUUAAUCUCUAAACAAUUAAAAUGUUUCAUAUAGAAAUAACUUAAAACAAUAGUAGUAAUUUAUUAACAUGUGUAAAAGAAGCUAAGAGUGUCAUAAUGAUGUUUAGGUGCAUCUCAUUUAUCAAAGCCAUAUAUACUAACUUUGUCAUAAAUUCCUAAAACAAGCAUAUGAUGGAUUGGAUACAGAUUAACCGAACGUGAAAGGUAAUAGUCUUUUAUCAUUUUAAAUCAACUAAUGUGUUAAUUAUAUUAGUGAAAGGUAAUAGUCU